GGCUCAGAACGAACGCUGGCGGCGUGCCUAACACAUGCAAGUCGAGCGAGAAAGUCCGCAAGGAUGAGUAAAGCGGCGCACGGGUGCGUAACACGUGGGUAAUCUUCCUUGAAGCCCGGAAUAACUCCCCGAAAGGGGUGCUAAUACCGGAUAAGACCACGGGAUCCUCGGAUCCUGAGGGAAAAGGCGGCCUCUGUACACAAGCUGUCACUUCAAGAUGAGCCCGCGGCCCAUCAGCUAGUUGGCGGGGUAAUGGCCCACCAAGGCUACGACGGGUAGCUGGUCUGAGAGGACGAUCAGCCACACUGGAACUGAGACACGGUCCAGACUCCUACGGGAGGCAGCAGUGGGGAAUCUUGCGCAAUGGGCGAAAGCCUGACGCAGCAACGCCGCGUGUGUGAUGAAGGUCUUCGGAUCGUAAAGCACUGUCGGGAGGGACGAAUAAGGUGGCGGCUAACAUCCGUCGCUGAUGACGGUACCUCCAAAGGAAGCACCGGCUAACUCUGUGCCAGCAGCCGCGGUAAUACAGAGGGUGCAAGCGUUGUUCGGAAUUAUUGGGCGUAAAGCGCGUGUAGGCGGCCAGGCAAGUUGGGUGUGAAAGCCCUCGGCUUAACCGAGGAAGUGCGCCCAAAACUACUUGGCUUGAGUACCGGAGAGGGUGGCGGAAUUCCCGGUGUAGAGGUGAAAUUCGUAGAUAUCGGGAGGAACACCAGUGGCGAAGGCGGCCACCUGGACGGAUACUGACGCUGAGACGCGAAAGCGUGGGGAGCAAACAGGAUUAGAUACCCUGGUAGUCCACGCUGUAAACGAUGAGCGCUAGGUGUUGUGGGUGUUGACCCCCGCAGUGCCGCAGCUAACGCAUUAAGCGCUCCGCCUGGGAAGUACGGCCGCAAGGCUAAAACUCAAAU
rnacentral:rRNA from 1 species